ACCCCGGCGAGGGGAGUGAAAAAGAACCUGAAACCGUGUACGUACAAGCAGUGGGAGCCUCUUAAUGGGGUGACUGCGUACCUUUUGUAUAAUGGGUCAGCGACUUAUAUUCUGUAGCAAGGUUAACCGAAUAGGGGAGCCGAAGGGAAACCGAGUCUUAACUGGGCGUUAAGUUGCAGGGUAUAGACCCGAAACCCGGUGAUCUAGCCAUGGGCAGGUUGAAGGUUGGGUAACACUAACUGGAGGACCGAACCGACUAAUGUUGAAAAAUUAGCGGAUGACUUGUGGCUGGGGGUGAAAGGCCAAUCAAACCGGGAGAUAGCUGGUUCUCCCCGAAAGCUAUUUAGGUAGCGCCUCGUGAAUUCAUCUCCGGGGGUAGAGCACUGUUUCGGCAAGGGGGUCAUCCCGACUUACCAACCCGAUGCAAACUGCGAAUACCGGAGAAUGUUAUCACGGGAGACACACGGCGGGUGCUAACGUCCGUCGUGAAGAGGGAAACAACCCAGACCGCCAGCUAAGGUCCCAAAGUCAUGGUUAAGUGGGAAACGAUGUGGGAAGGCCCAGACAGCCAGGAUGUUGGCUUAGAAGCAGCCAUCAUUUAAAGAAAGCGUAAUAGCUCACUGGUCGAGUC
rnacentral:rRNA from 1 species